CCUACGGGUGGCUGCAGUCGAGAAUCUUCGGCAAUGGGCGAAAGCCUGACCGAGCGACGCCGCGUGCGGGAUGAAGGCCCUCGGGUUGUAAACCGCUGUCAGUAGGGAGCAAAUCUCUUGGGGUUAUCCCCUUGAGUUGAGCGAUCUUCAGAGGAAGUACGGGCUAAGUUCGUGCCAGCAGCCGCGGUAAGACGAACCGUACGAACGUUAUUCGGAAUCACUGGGCUUAAAGAGUCCGUAGGCGGCCGUGUAGGUGGGAUGUGAAAGCCCUCGUCUCAACCGAGGAAUUGCGUUCCAAACCACAUGGCUUGAGGAGGAUAGAGGUGAGCGGAACUGAUGGUGGAGCGGUGAAAUGCGUUGAUAUCAUCAGGAACACCAGAGGCGAAGGCGGCUCACUGGGUCCUUUCUGACGCUGAGGGACGAAAGCUAGGGGAGCAAAC
rnacentral:rRNA from 1 species